AAAGGCGCCUAUUCGGAACACUUGUCUUUCUUAUCCAACAUAUGUCAGAAUAUAAAGUUUGUAGGUAUAAGGAAAAAAAUAUUUUUUCGACACACUCGCACAUUAAAACGAGAAACACAUGAAAAAUAAAAAAUAAACAGGAGAAUGUUUCAUGCUCGAAAUAUUGUAGUUACUGAAAGAUUUAUACGUUACCUCAUAAGUCUCUCCUAUUUUUAUUUAAUUGUACAUUUAAUCAUCUAACUGUAUGUAACACGCUCGUUGGAAAGCAAUGUGGUGCGUCUUCUACAGAGUCGCACCGACAGAUGUCAACCGGUGACAAUACAGGAUUUUUAUUACUCUGGUUUGGUUGGAGUGUGUAUGACGAUAUGAGAGAGAGAGGAGUGAGUGUUGAGAUGACGGCUGAUAGGAGAGAAUGAAAGAGAAGAAAAAUUAACUAUGCCGACCCCACCUAGUGGGAUAAGGUGAAGAAAAAGAAGAAGAGGUUUAAAAUCCUGACCAGAAUCAAAAGGAUAAUAAAACAUAUACUUAACUUUUCCUACAUUUUCGCUGGUAGCCUAAGGGGCUAUUUCAGCCACGUCCGGACGGGUAGGUGAGCUCACGGCCUUAACCUGAGAGUAUUUGCUAACACUAACCGGUGUUUGAGGGGCCUACAAGCACCCAGACAAUUUUUACCUAACUUAUUUAGCGUGUUUUGUGGGUUUUCCAACUGUAUUUAGGUAUCUACUGGUGGUAGGACCUCUUGUGCUGUGAGUCCGCGCAGUUAGGUACCACCACCCUGCCUAUUUCUGCCGUGAAGUAGUAAUCCGUUUCGGUUUGAAGGUCGGGCAGCCGUUGUAACUAUACUUGAGACGUUAGAACUUAUAUCUCAAGGUGGGUGGCGCAUUUACGUUGUAGAUGUCUAUGGGCUCCAGUAACCACUUAACACCAGGUGAACCGUGAGCUCGUCCACCCAUCUAAGCAAUAAAAAAAAAACUAUCAAAAGGCUGUAGGCAAAACUUGAAAUUUGUUGUAAUUAUUCGCUUUUAUCCUACGUUCAUAGAAAGUACUAUAUUACAAAAAUCUUCCUAAGAGGACUAACAAUAGCUAUACAAUGUCUCAUUAGUAUCGGACGAAUGAUUCAUAGCGCUCAAGAAACAACGCGGAGAGAAGGUCAGCCCAAAGGCUAAUUUUACGUGCCAAAAAAAUUUAGACCACUGCAUUUCUAGACUUUUUUUGGCAGUAAGAUCAGGCUUUAAAAUGGCCUCUCUUCACCCACACUCCGUAAUAAUACAGAUGGAUUUGCUUCGGUGGUAGGCAUUGGGAUGAUAAAAACAAGAUGACGAGACCGUCUCAAACAAUUCCUUAAAGCAUUCACCAUAGAACACACGGUGCCAAAUACAUUGAGAAUCGAAGCCUUUUAGUAGACCAGCGAGGUAUGGAAUAAUACGUAAAAACGAAUACACGAUAAUAUGACGGCCUAUCAAGAAUUAGAAUGGACAUGCUGCAAAACGGAAAUCAAAAUCGAGAUGUCUAUGGGAUAUUAUAGCCUUCGAUUUUCCCCAGCUUCUAAUAUUUAAAUAUAAGAAAAAGAUAAGUAGUACUACUUAAAAGCGAUCGUGUACCUGUAUCUCCCGAAAUAUCCAUAUAAAUACUACUCUGUUUAGAAAGUACCGGAAAAAGAGCAAUAAUACACAAAAUGUUAGCUGUAGUGUAGAUACACUUAUGUACGCCAACAAAGAAAGUUUGAGGGGUGGGAUGCCCUUCAAACCGAAUCGAAUUACUGCUUUUAUGCCGUGCAUAAAUACGCAGGGUGAUGGUACCUAGCCAUGCGGACUUACAACACGUCCUACCACCAAUAAUGACGCAAAUUAUAAUUUCGCGGACUUGAUUUUUAUUACACGACGAUAUUCCUUUAUCGUGGAAGUCAAUCGUGAACAUUUGUGAAGUGCGUAUUUCAUUAGAAAAAUGGGUACCUGCCUGUGGGAUUCGAACACCACACGUUGCAUCGCUAGAUACGAAUGCAUCGGACGUCUUAUGGUUUAGGUGUUGUUCCACGUUGUUCAUCCAUCAACGUAACCAAAAAUCAAUUAAUCAAAGAUCAAUAAAAUUUCUACUCCCACGAUUCUAAAUAAAGAAAUCUCAAUGCUUGACCAAACAAUAUAAAUGACUAUGUUGCCAGCUCAUUUAUUCAUUUUUCACAUUAUAAUGAGUCUGACGUCAUAAGUCACUCAUGUUUUGAAACCCAUCGAUAGGCACGUCAGUCAUAAAUCUUCGUCAGAACUCAAGAUACUACAAGCACAUUUUAUUGUUGUUGAUAUCCUCAUAGAAUGUCCCGUUUACAAUUACAAUCAUUUGCUGCUUCCUGCAUCGCUACUACGCCACAUGUUAGAUGCUAGUUCAAUAGCGUGUUUGACAUAGCCUCUUUAAUUCUUAGAUAUUUGAACAGCGACUAAAUCAUCUAUUUUGAAUAGAUAAUUCUCAUUGUAUUCCAUUUAGGAAAGUAAAUAUUAGUUUAUUUAAAUAAAAAACGGCCCUGGCAACUGAGCCAAUUAGCAACAUACAACAAAUAGGAUUGGUUACUGAUAAACAAAUCAAAUAAAUAUGCAAUUUCGAAAAGGGCACAUCUCUGAAAAUUUAAAAUAUUAGCUUUUGAGAUAUAUUUUAGUGUUAAUUAGCAAUUGAAAAUUACUGGAAUUAUUAUAAAAUGGGUGUAGGUAAGCCUCAAAACUACAUGUAUAUGAAAAAACGUAGUUGACAAAAUAUGCGACAUGUGCCCUUGUCGAAAUUGCAUAUUCAAAUAUAAAUUUCAUUCUACCUUGAUGAAAUCAUAAUUGCAAUGCAAUAAGAAUGGCUAUUAUAUCCGUCGAAUCAGAAAUUAAGAUGCUUUCUGACAGAAAUAUACAGGAUGAAGGUACCGACUUGAGCUAAUAGGUUUCACGACCACCCGAAAUUAGGAGUAGGCUUUUUCGAGAGAGUUACGUAAAAAAAUAAUGAUAAAUAUAAGCCGUCUUGGCAUAUAUUAUAAGAAGACAGUUAAGUACUAUCAUCCUGAAUAAUUCUGUUUUCGGUAACCAUUUAAAAUCAGGGCGGUGAGUACCAUUUUCCAAGGAAAAAAGAAAUAACAAGGAUGUCAUUAUUAGACUUACCUGAGUUAGUUAGAAGAAGGACAGUGUUAUACAGAUUAGAAUAAGUCCCUAAUGAUACAAAUAUUUAAAUUCUCGAGUUAUCGUGUGAUAACGUUAUUAUCGUAUAUAUAUACGUAGCAUUGUGGGAGUCAUUCGUGAACUCAGGUACGUAAUUCCUUCGAAAACCUGCUCCAGGGUCGAAUCACGGCGACCUUACAUCACUCUACCGGUCGCCUUAUCUAUGAAUUAACGAAAAAUUCCAUUGGAUACAGUGUCGACCGCAAAUUGUGAAAUAAACACAAUAGGAAUGUUUGGAGUAUGCUCUUCAAUGGCAUAGGGCAUACGUCAUAGAUACAUAGGCUAUUCAAGAUUUUGUGCAAAAACUUCAGAUAUCUGGAUUCAUUGUAACUUCGACCGUCACCAUUUGAUUAUGUUCAUUUAUAAAAUUUGAUGUUUAUGACCUAUAUGAUACCUAUACAAAUUACUAGUUUUAAUUUCAACGCAAUGUUGCUUUUGAAGAUUGUUAUAUUAAAUGAUUCCCCUGAUUCUAGAAGCUUCAUGAGCCAAUGCCUCGGUAAGCGUAAUUAUUAUAUGUUUAAUUGAAUACGGCGCUUGUAUAUAGGUAUAUACUGUAGUUGUAUUCUUUUUAUUUUUCCUACCUAAGCUGAUAGCCUUGAGAGGCUAUUUCAGCUUCUCCUUGACGAGUAGGUGAGCUCAAAUCGAGAGUGUUGUUAACACUGGCCUUAGCAAGAGCAGUGGUUCACAGAAUCUACCACCAGAUCGGAAACGUGACCCACUGAGAAGAUUCGGCAAGAAACUCAAUGGGCUGUGUCUAUGGGUUAGUUUACUCGUCGAGCCCAUCGUCGCAAGCGACGGGUUCGGCGAGGACGGUAACUGGGGCUUGCGUUACAAAUGAUUUAAAAAAGCGUAAGAACGUUAAGUGAUGUGGUAUAAAAACGUGGCCUGUGGGAUUAUUCUGUUGGGAACUCCAUACAAAGACGAGAAUACAUAAGUCAGUGCAAUCAUUCUUGGAUGUCUGUUAUGUGCCGCACAGCCGGCAUUCUUGAUUGUCAAUCUAAUGAAGUUUAAAAGUUCAAAAGAAAAUUAUCUCUACAAGUUUCCAAUGUGUGGUCAAACUGUUUUUAGUCGUUUAGUGGAGGGCCGAGAACUUUCUAGAAGCCACCCAAGCAUUCGAGCAAUCACUAUAAAACUUGACCUCCCAAAUAAUUUGACUUACGUAACGCGAACGAAAACACGAAAUACAUAGUCAACUUGUAAGGCGUCUUUCGUUUACUAGGAUUCCGUACAAAUGCUACAAGCGGUGACCGCGGUUCAUCAAACCUGACUCAUUCCUCAUUAAUCAGUGAAGACCUUUGAUGAAGCUUAAGUAACAUUCGUCGGAAAGUAGAUUUCACGGGCUGACGGCUCUCUGAUAUCAGCUUACUAAUAACCUUAAUAAUGUUAUGAAAUACAUACAUUAGGAAUCUCGGAGACUGAUCGAAUUUAAAGAACUAAACAUACCAUGACUUUAAUGAGCAACAUUUUUAAUAUAGAACCCACAUAUAUCUUCAACCAGUUACAUUACACACCUGUUUCACCUAUUUGUUAGAAAAUGAUUCGAAGACCUCUGUUGAUGGUACUUUACCAGAGAACCUUACCUGAAGCCAACAGCAACUAUGUAGAAGCGUGAAAGCAUAAUUAAAAUAAGGAAACAUAUAAACUAUUAUUGUAUAUUAAUAAAAAAAACCACCCACCCACCUAUCAAAGAGAGCACUGACCUGGAAAGUGUCUGGCGAAAGGAAGAGAGGCCGCCCCAGAGCAACUUGGCGUCGCUCGGUAGAGCAGGAGCUAGGUGUCUUGAGCAUGACGUGGGAGGAGCUAGAACAGACUGCCCAAGACCGAUAUAAAUGGAAAAAUUUAAAUUGAUUCGAGCCCUACACCCCAGCACAGGAUAAUAACAGGAAAGAAUGAUGAUGAUAAAAAAAAACAAAAGUAAAUAUAUUUGUCUCGAUAUACGUUUCUCUAUGGUAUUUUUUAUAGAUAUCGUUUUACGACUUUUAAACGAAAACAUUUUUCCCUCCAUAAAAUAUUUAUUCGCAUUAAAAAGUGAAAUUGAUCAAUAGUUGCGAAUUAGGGAUUAAACUAGAUGUCCUUAGUUUCUGAACUCUGAGUUUUAAUUUAGACUUAACACCAGGUGAGCUGUUAGCUUUUACUCCCAUAUAAGCAAUAAAAAAACUAAACGUUGUUUGAAAGAUGAAGAUAAAACAUGUCAGUGGAUAAAAAAAAACAAGAUGGUUUCGAAACAAGAAGGUAAACUUGUAUACGGCUCCCAAAGCAACGCGGAAUGUUAAUCGUAACUACAAAUGUUAAAAGUUUGAAUAACAUUAUUUGAUUAAGUAACUUUUUUAGUUAAACGUAUUAAAUUUAGUUUUGAAGGACUUACACUUUAAGUUAAAAGUCUUAGCUAUUUAAGCGGAUUAAUUCGGCAAAAAAUAACACAAAAUAAAAUAUUGAAUUGUCAUCGGUCCUUGAUAAGUAUGCCAAAUUUCGAGUUAAUCCGACGUUUUGAGGGGGUCAAAAUCAUGUUCAAAGAUUCCGUUACAUACUAACAUACGUAUGAAGCUAAGAAAAGCGUAUUUUUUUUACAUUUUGAGUUGUUUACAGUAACUACCCAUGGAUGACUGUUUUUUUUUUUUUUUUUUUUAUUUAUUUCCCGAGUAGUCAGAUAUCGCUCAUGGACAUCAGCAAUGAUAGAGGCAGAGCCAAGCCACUGCCUACUUAACAAUUAAUUAUUGGUGCUAUAGUGCGAAAACUGUAAAGAAUAACAAUGAAUAUUUAAAAUAACAUUUAGACAUCAGAUUUAUAUUUUUUAAAUCAUUUAAGCAUGGUUUAUUCGGGAAAAGUUAAAGAUAUUGAAGCAGCGCGUGUUUCUAUUGUGAUACUAGUUUUGAGCAGGUAAAAAAAGCUCCUGGGCUAAUGAAAAAGUUUAUUACUUUACUCGCAGGUAGAUAGGGCAACACGUAAGCGAUUAAUUCUUCAUAAGCUCAAUUAUCAUUCAAUAUUUACGUUGGCAGAAAAUAAAAUUAUUAAAAGCACGCUUCAAAAAUUUGCCUUUUCUCAAAGCUGUGUAAUAUAUUAAUUUAGAUUAAAUUACCUCUAUUUUCAUACGACUGACCGACUUGUCACGGCUUUAAGCACAAGACUAAGUAAGAAUAUUAUCUAGGUGUUAUGAUAUGUCUAUGCAAUUAUGCUUUACAUUAACUAAUAUCAACAAAGGAGGAGGUAAUUCUGCGUUUUUAGUUUAUUCUACACACGGUAUGAGGUUGGAGUAUAAGCCAUCAGUUUCGUAAGAAUUGAGACGAUGCAACAAUUGACCUAAAUUAAGUCGCGGUACUUUGGACUGUAGACUGAUUAGUGUAGAGUGGUUUUUUAUGCCUGUAUUUAUUCAAAUACAAAAAAAAUAUACAUACACAAAUUCACAGGUAAGUUAUUUAUUUAAUUAACAAAUUCUUUCUCCCAGCAGACCUGCGCCAUAAUUUAUAAACACAAUGGAAUUAAAGUUUCGUCAUCACUGCGAUGUUCUUUGGGAAACGUUUAUCGGAUUGUUCAAUGUAAUUAUUGUAAUUAUAAAAGUUCGGUUAAAGAUAUCUAGAAAAUAACAAACAAUAUUUAGGAGGCAAUAGAUAAUGACAAAGAAAAUGUACUAGAUUAUGGAUAAGAUACAAGCAAUUGCGUGUUAACAUAACAACCGAUUAGGAAUUUAAUCGGUGCAUAUUUUAUUUGUAUUUCGUUCGAUCGUUAUUAUUCUAGGAUUGUUAUCGGGAUAAGACUGUGCUAAUUAAAUUAUAAUCCUUUAUUGGAAGUGUGUACGUUAUAGCCUUGUCCAAAGUUUAUCCGUGAUUUGCGGGGCUUGAUCAGUCAAGGAGCAAGGCCGCGGCGAGGCGACGCGGUCCGGGAGUCAGGCUGGCGGCAGUCGACACAGCGCGGUCGGCUCACCACCAUGCCCGACGAAGAGCCCCCUUUGCCGCCUCCUUCACCCGUCCCGCCGCGCUUUGGGCCAUCGCGCCUACGCCGCACGUUGCACUCGCUUCGUUCACCGUUCCGCCCCGGUUCGCCCUUCCACAUCGGCUCUAUCAAACGCACAGGCUCCAGCAAGUCCGUCGCCUCAGACGGUGAGAUCACGCGCGACGAACGCACGAUGCGUAAACGCAAUAAGAAACAACGCGAAGCGGCCGCCGAGUCCUCUCGUAGCACUGGGAGCUCGCCCGGCGACGACAAACAGAAAAAGGAAGCCGGAGGUAGUCUUCUCAAACGCAUGGGUAGUAUUGGUAAAAAACGCAACGAAACUCCCGCAGUAUCAGCUUCUCAACCAGAAACGUCACAGUCCGUCGAGAGCGCUCCAACUCCCUCUAACGAAUUAGCGCGACCGACCCCUGAACCAGUGAGCCCCAUCGCUGUCGAACAUGCCGUCGCUACGAGACCUUUUACGAAAGCUGCUUGGAAACGCAACAGUGUACCCGAAAUGGAAAAACCCGUGGAAGAACCGAGUCCGGAAAACGCGCUACGGAGACGAGUAGCGUUUGUUAGUCAGGCUUCCGUUGGCGGUUCGGAAGAUCGCGAUGAUGACAGGGAGAGGGGAGGGACGGAAGUGGGGUCGUUGGAAGAGGCGGUGGCGCUAGCACGCGUGAAGCUGGCCGUGGCCACACCGCCCUCGUCGUCACAGUCGCGCGACAACGACACUGAAGAGGAGGGGCACUCGGACACGAUGCCUGCCUACGGAGACCUGAUCGAGCCGGAGAACAAAGCCGGGAACGAUGCUACGACGGUAAGUGGAUGCGUUGUAUGUAGCGCAACGUGCGCGUGGCCGGAUCGCCGCAUCGCUCGGCACGUCAGUGGACGAAGGUUCUCCGUGCGAUGCGCGCGCGCCAUGACCUUCGAGGAGGCAGUAGAUGAUUGCUACCUAACGGUGUGCGAGUGCUGUGGCUUCAGCGCCGAGACGACAGUUCUGUUCCCAGUACGUUUUAUUUCACGCUAGUUUACAGCGGACGUGACGCUGCCGCGCGAUGUCUUUCGUGAGUACGACUCGUUUGUCUGCUCGUGUGCGCUUCGCUUUUUUUUUUAAUUGUAUAAUUAUUAUAAAUGUUUUUAAUUUCGAGCUUUCUUGUGUGGUGUAUCUGUGGUGUUUGUCAAUAUCGAGUUAUGAAUUGGUUCUUAUUCGUUAUUGUUGGAAUUUUAAUUUGACCAUAACUUAAAAAAAAUCUAUUUCCGCCUUCAUGAAUUAUUAAAUAACACUAAAGCUAACACGAAAUACGAAUAACGUAAGUCGAUCUAGUACCUUCUUAAAGUAUAUGCAGUUCAAUAUUACAAAUAGAAAACUCGUUUACGUUAUAUGAUACUGCGUAAUAUUAUGAAUAGUAAUAUUUUGAACACAAACAAAGAAAUGUAUAAACGACACUAGGAUAAUUCAUAAAAAUCGAAUAAGCUUUGCUAUAACUAUAUAGCAAGACUAUAUUUAUUCGAGAAUGAUAUAUGACUUUAUUGAUCCUAAAGCAUUAUAGACUAAAUAUGUAUUAAAAUUUUAUUGUACAGUUUUCUCUUCAAAUAAACGCAAAAAUCUAUUUGUCCCCUUUUAAUAGGUGUAUGUGAGAACAUAUUAUUAUUUAAUUCUCAUAAUUCUUGGGGCCCAUGUUUAAGCCGAGGGCAAAUAACAUAAUUAAAAUAACAGGCAACAUUUUAAAUCAUUAUUUAUUUAUUAGAUCAUGAUGUUUUUUUUUAAGAAAUGACGUCUUAAAAAUAUAGGUAACAGUGUUCAUAAUAAUAUCAUUAAUUGCCAAAAAAUCGAAUCUAUACCAUUUGAUUCUGUGUAUUUAUUAGCAUACAUUAAUUAUGUAUAUCAAUCUACAUACCGGUGAAUCUCGUUUUCCAUAACAACAAUUAACAUUCAACAAUUCGGUUGCCGAUUAGAAUCUAACCGAUGUUAACUUGUGGUUUUAGUUGUCGUUUCUAGAAUGUUUCAAAGAUAAUAUAUUCAAAUUCAAAGGUUUAUUAUCGAUUUUAAUCAGAACUAGUGGUCCCGCAGUAGUCGAAUAAUAAUUAAUUGAAAUUUUAAGUUUGAACAUUAUUAUGGUUCUACUGUCAAAGACUGUUAAACUUCUAUAAUAUUUUCUUCUUUAUAUUUUGGCUCCGGCACGGUUUGUGCAUUAGCCAGAGUCAAGUAAGAUUUUUAGAACUCGCCGUUUUAAUUAUUUACAGUUUUGUAUUUAAAAAAAACGAAGGAAACCGAAAUUAAUCAAUUGAGAUGAUAUUAAAUGAAGUAAGAUGAGAUGAUAUGAGAUGAAAUAUAAUAUCAGUAAAAUGCUUCGAUCAACAAUAGUAACAUUGUUGAUGGAAGGUAAAAUGGUAGUUAUUUAUUGAGUCUUUUUCAGAUGACUUUUUGAAGGAUCCCGAGAAGCUACGCCCAGCGACUUUGUUUCAUUUUCCCACAAUUGUGCACUUUCAUAGAUGUUAAAUAGAUAAUGAACCACCAUUAUUACACAUUUAAACCCGAAGAAACACUAAAUAGACAAAAUAAAACAAUUCACACAACUUUGUUCUUCGCGUUCCAGACAAAAAGUCCAAUAUUACAAUCACAGAUUUCGCCAAGACUACACACUAUAGACAGAUAUAAAGUCAAACAAUAUUAAUUUAUGCGAUUUGUAAGGCUUAAAUGUGUAAUAACGGUGGUUUAUUAACUGUUUAACAUCUGUCAGAGUGCACUAAUGUGGAAAAAUAAAACAAAACCGCUGGACGUAACUUCUCGGGAUCCUCCAAAAAGUUCACUGAAAAAGUCUCCGUAUAUAGGAUAAUAGGAGUAAUGUCCUCUAAUAGGAGUAAGGACCUCUUGUGAGUCCGCACGGGUAGGGACCACCACCCUGUCUAUUCCUGCCGUGAAGCAGUAAUGCGUCUCGGUUUGAAGGAUGGGGCAGCCGUUGUAACUACACUGAGACCUUAGAACUGAUAUCUCAAGGUUAGUUUUUGUUUUUUCUGUUGCUAAGAUGGGUGGACGAGAUCACAGCCCACCUGGUGCUAAGUGGUUACUGAAGCCCAUAGACAUCUACAACUUAAAUGCGCCACCGACCUUGAGAUAUAAGUUCUAAGGACUUAGUAUAGUUACAACGGCUGCCCCACCCUUCAAGCCAAAACGCAUUACUGCCUCAAGGCAGAAAUAGGCGGGGUAAUGGUACCUACCCGUGCGGACUCACAUGAGGUCCUACCACCAGUAACUACCUACUUCGCAGCAGGACUAAGCAGGGUGGUGGCAGUUAUCCUUGCUGGCUCACAAGAUGCCUUACCACUACUGGUGUGAGACAUGCAAUAAAAAAAUUUACCUAUAAAAAAUCAGAACUUUGUUUUAUAAUUAUAUGUGUGCGGUAUAUCAGAGGCCCACUACAAAAUAUCAGAUUGUUAAAACGAUUAGCGAAUAUAUAUUGUUUUCGUCAGCUUUGGUCAGCGAAUAUACAUUCUUUUCGCUUAUCCAAAAGUACUGACGGGGUGGUAAAUUAUAAUCGCUUUGGUUUCGGCAACAGUUUCCUCACAAACUUCGUUCCUUUUUUUGGAUUUAGUACCAGAUUGACGGCAUGCGAUAAUUUGCGUCGCAUACUUUUAUUUUAAAAUAUUCAUAUCGAUAUUUUUAAAAUAUGUUGGUAUUUAAUGGGAUUGUAAAAAAUUUAAAAAUACUAAUGCCUUCCCUCCCCACUCCUCAGUUCCCGUAACCUAUAUGUGUAUUUCUUAUUUUGGCGUCAGUAUAUAUUGUUUGACAAAAUAGGCUUAAGUAUUAUAUGUCCAACAUCCUGCCAUCUUAUGUUAAUCACUUUUAUGUUUGCCUACCUAUUGAUAGUAGCCUCGUUAACCCGACACAGCCCACUGAGUUUCUCGCCGAGUCUUCUCAGUAGGUCGCGAUUGCGAUUCGUUGGUAGAUCCUGUGAAGCACUGCUCUUGCUAGGGCUAGUGUUAGUAAGUUCCGUCAGAUUGAGCCCGUCAGCUCACCUACCAGUCCGGACGUAACUGGGAUAGCCUCUUAGGCUACCAGCGAAUAAAAAAAGUAUCCUCGAUGGCUUAUGGUAGCUUCAUCGAACGUGUAAGACAGCUUACGGGGCUCAGCCAGGAGACUUUGCUAACACCUUCUUUUUACAUAUAAAAUAUCAUUGGCUAACACUUUAAACAGUUGAUAACGUUUAUCCGAAACGACAUCUAAUACGGAAGGUUGACGGAAGGUAUUAACACUAUGUUUUUACCGGUGGUAGGACCUCUUGUGAGUCCGCACGCGUAGGUACCACCACCCCGCCUAUUUCUGCCUUGAAGCAGUAAUGCCUUUCGGUUUGAAGGGUUGGACAGGCGUUGUAACUAUACUGAGACCUUAGAACUUAUAUCUCAAGGUGGGUGGCGCAUUUACGUCGUAGAUGUCUAUGGGCUCCAGUAACCGCUUAACACCAGGUGGGCUGUGAGCUCGUCUAUCCACCUAAGCAAUAAAACAAGAAAAAAUAAUUUUAGUGAGAACAAAAAUACAGUAACCCUAUUUUACAUUUGCAACACAAAAUUCGAAAGAAUUUUAUUUUAUUUUCGUAUUAUUUAACGUUCAUUUUUGCAUACAAUUAUUGCACAAUACUUACUAAUUUGAUUCGUAAUGUAAGUACUUAUCUUAAUAAGUUACUUUUAACGAUCCAUUUGUAAAUCACUCGUUAAUAAACUUGUAUCAUUAAUAUUAAAAAUCAAUUAAGCAUUUCAAAAUAGUAGGUAAACUAGAACAAAAUUAUAAGAAAAUUUUCCGACCAAGUGUUUUUAUUAUCUUAUUUGAUUAUGACGUUAUCUCGGUGCAGUAAGGUAGAUUUUGCGAGCGCUCUUCAUUUCCGUUCCGGUUCGAUAGCAUUGAAAUUAAAUUAGUGAUGUAUAGAAAUCAAAAUUAUCGAUAACGCUGUCAUUUAUUAUUUAAAAUUUUGAACUAGUAUUGCAGUUUCUUGCAUACAAAACUGAAAAAGAUAUUUACAAAUAAUCUUGUGUUGGUCUGAGACUGGCUAAUUUAUUAAAACUAGAAUCAAAAUUUAUCUUCUUGUAUUUAGUAAAGAUUAUAAAUAAUACAAUCUGUUAAUGCAAUAUCAAUGAUUUCAAAAUAAUUAUUAUGCAACAUACAAGGUUGACUUUCUAUCUAAAAAUGACUGUUAUCUUAAGUCAAGACGAUCAUCACUUUAACAGAUCAAGAUUUAAGCCUGUAGCAAUAACACGAAUUUCCAAAAUAAGGACUUGCAUCAAAUGCACUUAAAAUUUAUAUGGGGAAAAAAUCUUCAAGCCUUCACAGAAAUUACUUUGAUAGGCACAAUCAGAAGACUAUAGCAAUAUUGAAUUCUUUCAGUCACAAUAUUCUAGCAAUUAUCUGUGAAUUCACGACACGCGGUUUUGGUGCGUAUUAUUCACUUUGACCGGAAACUUACGGCCUAAAUAAUUGUAAUGUAAAAUUGUUAAAAAUGCGGUAUCGCUAACCUAAGUAGUAAAAUCUUUGUAAGUGUAUUAUUGAAGUGUAUUGUCCCCACAUCUAUCUAUAUAAAUAAAAAUGAAUUGCUGUUCGUUAGUCUCGCUAAAAAUCGAGAACGGCUGGACCGAUUUGGCUAAUUUUGGUCUUGAAUUAUUUCUUGGAAGUCCCAGAGAAGGUUUAAAAGGUAGAUAAAUAUGAAAAUGCCCGGAAUUAAAUAAAAAUAACAAUUUUAUUUUUCCUUUGAUGUGUCCCCUUCGGACGGAUUCCUUUUGUUUGUUUUAAGUUUAUUUGAAACAAAAGUUUAGGUCUUUCGUUUAUCGAUUGAGGCACUACGAAGUCUGCCGGGUUAGCUAGUUCAGAAUAAAUAUCAAUGUGUUAUUGACCCAAUUGCUUUGUAAAUUAAACGAGCUGGUUGUUUGAAAUCCGUGAUUAUCGUCACUCAAGCGAUUUAUUGUAGUGACCAAAGUAGUUUGUAUACCAACAUUCUUGUGUCUAGAUGAAGAAAGUACAUGCCAUAAGUCGCGUUAUUCGCCCUCGGGGCUAUUGGCGAUGCGUGGCUGGAACCCGACACCCAGGCUACGCUUACCGCAGGCUCGCGGUCGUUGUGCAAUGCCACUUAAAGUUGAUUCUAUACUGGUUUACGGAAAGAUUCUGUUGCUAUAUUCCGUUUUCAAGUCAUUUUCGGGCCAUUGAACGAGCUACACAAGUCGUCUUUUCGCAUUAAAAGUAUUUAAAAGUGUACAAUUUCCAAAAAUAUUCGAAAUUGUGUUAAUACGCGUAAACAUUUGGUAUCACCAGUAUUUUUCUCAUAAAUACUGUCAAAAGAGCGUAGUUUAGUUUUUGUUUUUUUUUUUGUUUUUAGUUUACCUAUAUUUUGACUAUUAACAAAAUUAAUACACAAUUUUUUAAAAACAACUUACUUUAAAAGACCGAUAUUGUAACAACUAAAAAUAUAAAUGUUGCAAAGAUGAUUAAUAUUAAAAAUAUCAUAUUAUGUUAAACCUUUAAAACACUCUCCCGGAAAAUUUAGUAAGUUUUGAGAUUAUACAGUUUUAAUGCGAGAAGACGAAGUGUUGAACUUACAAAAAAAACGUAUAUAGGAAUUGUGCACAAAUAAUCUAGAAGCCGUAACCUUUCCCAUGAUAUUGCUGACCCCAAUGAUACCUCUGGGCCAGUAGCUGACUGAAAUAAUCAGAGUUUUUGUAGAUUUGACAUGAAUCAUUUUAUUAAGCCCGCUGCGUUUCUCGCCGGAUCUUCUCAGUGGGGCGCGUUUCCGAUCCGGUGGUAGAUUUUGCGAAGCACGGCUCUUGCUAGGGUUCGCGUUAGCAACGUCGUCAGGUUUGAGCUCCAUGAGCUCACCUACUAUUAGGUUACGCUGAAAUAGCCUCUCAAGGCUAUCAGCUUAGGUAGGAAAAAAAUAAAACUUUAUUAACACCCUUUUUUAUUGCUCCACUUCUAUCUUAGUAUACAUUUAAAGGGAUUUUUCAAAUCAAUUUCAAAGCUUUAAGGCGGUCUAUUGAUGUACUUAAAAUUUUGAAUUCGUAUCCGAUGAAGUAAUUUGAUCAGGGUCAACAGAAUUAGAACGUCUAGCAGUUUUUUAAAUUAAAAAAAAAAAAGAUUUUCAUUGAUUUCUUUCAUUUUAUCUGUAACCACGCAAACUGUAGUAUUAAUGAACUGAAAUCAUUAAAAUGACAAUAAUCAAUAUAAGAAAUUUAAUAUAAAUAAAUAAUGAAAAAAACUAGUUAAGUUGAUUCGAGAAAGCCGCAUAAAAUACAAAAUUUUAUUUAAUUUUAUUUCUAAUGCAGUUUGUGGCAUUCAAAGGUUUCGCGAUAUAGUUGUGUGGCCUUGGGUUUUCUUAUAUUAUGUCAUUUAUUGACAUUAAAAAUAUUUAUCAACAAGCACCAUUCGUUCACGCCAUAAAUACGUCAUUACGGAUCUUCUAGAUCCAUUAACGGUGCUUUUAGGUACCUCAAGCACCGGUCACCGUCCUUGCCGAACCCGUCGUUUGCGACGAAGAGCUCGACGAGUAAAUUAACCCAUAGACAUAGCCCACUGAGUUUCUUGCCGGAUCUUCUCAGUGGGUCGCGUUUUCGAUCCGGUGGUAGAUUUUGCGAAGCACUGCUCUUGCUAGGGCCAGUGUUAGCAACACUCCGGCUUGAGCCCCGUGAGCUUCACCUACACGUCAAAGAGAAGCUGAAAUAGCCUCUCAAGGCUAUCAGCAUAGGUGGGAAAAAAAAUCGUUCUCUUAGCAUUGAAGUGUGGACGCAACCUUAAUCGUAUUUUGUCCACAUAUGAAAUAGAACGAAGUAAACCUAAUGAGCGGGUCAGAUUCAGAGUUAUGUUGAUUUCUAUUGUUGUUUUUUUAACAAUAUUGAAAUGGUAAAAAGAUUACGUAUAUGUCGACGCACCACUAAUUAUAUGGAAAAAUUAAUUAAUCAAUCAAGAUUAAUUCCUAAUUUAACAUGCGGCGUAAUUAUUGAUUGUAAUUAUCACACGUGUAGUAAAUAUAUUUCAGACUGAUUGUUAAUUUAAGCAAAAUGUAAUGUUAUGGUUUGCUGUCACUUGGGCAGCAAACGAUAACGUUGCAUUUACCAUUCGUCUUCAGAGGAAUGUUUAAUCAUUUGCUAAAUUCAUUUCUUGAUUUUUAAGCGACGUCUACUUGUUUAACACGAUGUUUGGUUAAGAUUAAUGUUGUAAGGAACUCUGCCAGAUUUUGUAAUACGCGGAAACGAUACCACGUGAUUACGUUUGUAAGGAUAGAUUCAACUUUAGAUUUAGUUAGUGACCUAAAUUAGUUGUUUAAAUUAAUUUGUGAUUUAACUAUCAAGUUUGGAAAAUUUAGAGUGAGUUUGCGUUUUAAUAAUUUGUGAAUUUGAAGUAAUUUCCGUCUUGACAAGAGGGAGCCACCGAACUAUCAAGUUUGGAAAAUGUAGUGAGUUUGCGUUUUAAUAAUUUGUGAAUUUGAAGUAAUUUCCGACUUGACAAGAGGGAGCCACCGUUUUUGUUUUCGGGGUGGCGGCUUGUAAUCAAGACGGAAAGACCUUCUUUCUGUGCUGCGCCUCGGCUGCGACCAGACGCUCUGUGAGUACAUACUGUUGCAUUAUUUUAAGGUUAUUUUUAAGUGUGUAUAUAAGUGCUAGGCGAAGUGUUGUAAUUAAAUAGUGUUAAAUUAUAAUUUGGUGUUUCGUUUGCGAUGAGUGAGCCUUGUGAUGGAGUUGGUGGCGUCAGUUUAUCUGACGUCACCUUUUCCAAAAAUUCUCCGGAGGUCGGUGCGCCGUCAUCAGAAGUGGGAUCACCUCCCACUUCUGCUCGCCCUUCUGGCUCGGUUAACAAAAAUAUGAACACUUCUGUUGAUGGGGUGCCGGCUGAUUUUUUCACUCAGAUGUUGCAAAUGAUGAAACACGUGUCGGAUCGUAUGACGUCGCAAUCAGAUAUUUCAAAAGUGAGAAUAAAUGACGUGUUUUUGCCGUCAUACGAUCCAGACGCUAAUGUUGGGGUUAGAGAAUGGUGUCAACAUGUGACCAUAGCUAUGGAAACUUACAACCUGAGCGAUUAUGAAGUCCGGAUGAAGGCUGGUAGUUUGCUUAAGGGUCGCGCAAGGUUGUGGGUUGACAAUUGGCUGGUGUCCACCACCACGUGGCAAGAAUUGCGUGAUGUUUUAAUUUCGACUUUUGAACCGGAAAACCGAUAUUCACGCGAUGUUGUGCGUUUUAGAGAACAUACUUACGAUAAUUCUAAAGACAUCGCUCAGUUCUUAUCACAAGCUUGGGUUUUAUGGAGACGUAUUACUAAAGAUAAGUUGUCGAAUGAUGACGCGGUUGAGGCUGUUAUCGGUUGCAUUGGGGAUGAGCGCCUGAGAAUCGAAUUGUUAAAUGCGCGAGCUACAUCUGUCCCAGAACUUAUUUCAGUGGCCUCAUCUAUAAAAAGUGUUAAACGUCCUCAUCCCAAUGCAUCGAUACCGCAUCAGAGUGUCGCAAAGCGCCCACGUUUUGAUAAGACACCGGGCUUUUGCCAAAUCUGUAAAAGGUCGGGUCACGAUACGCGUGAUUGCCGAUACCGCGACAAACCUGAAGGCCCUCAGCCGCGACAACAGGAUGGUAAAACUACUCCUCCAGGUGUUGGUAGACCGACAUGUACGUUUUGUUCAAGGUUGGGUCAUACUUAUCAAACGUGUUACAAGCGAGAACGUGCAGUUGUUUCUAAUGUCAAUUGUGUGGGGACGUCAAAAUUAAAUGCGAUGCCAGUUGUUGUAGGAGGUUUCAAAAUUAAUGCAAUUUUUGAUAGUGGAGCCGAAUGUUCAGUCAUUCGUGAAUCUGUAGCUGCAAAGUUGCCGGGAAAACGCGUUGAUAGGGUUAGCUAUUUGAAAGCUCUCGGUCAAUUUACGGUUGUCUCGCUUUCAACAUUAACAACAGUUUGCAUAAUCGACAACUUGCGCGUAGAACUAGAGUUUCACGUCGUUUCCGAUAUUGAAGUGAGUUCUGAUAUUUUGAUAGGCAUUAAUUUGAUAGAAAAUACGAACCUAAGCGUUGUUGUAAAUUCACGAGGUGCAAUGCUGGUUCAUCAACCGAUCAUUUACCACAUGCGAUCUCAAAGCCCAAAAUUUGGCAAAUUAGAUUGUGACUUAACCAAUGACAAUCAGAUUAGCGAGUUAAAAAUAUUGCUGAACAAGUUCGAACACUUGUUUAUUCAUGGCUACCCGCAUACGCGAGUUAAUACGGGUGAGCUAGAGAUUCGAUUAAAGGACGAAAGUAAGACAGUGGAGCGUAGGCCCUAUCGGCUUAGUCCAGUUGAACGGGAAAAAGUUCGCGAUAUCGUUAACGAAUUGCUUGAGCAUAAAAUAAUUCGGGAAAGUAAAUCUCCUUUUGCAAGCCCAAUAAUUAUAGUUAAAAAGAAAAACGGCAAAGAUCGUAUGUGUGUAGACUACCGAGAGUUAAAUAGGAAUACCGUCAGGGACCAUUAUCCCUUACCGAUAAUCUCAGACCAAAUAGACCAACUGGCCGGGGGUAUUUAUUUCACCACAAUUGACAUGGCAGCUGGGUUUCAUCAGAUACCUAUUUCGGAGGGAUCAAUUGAAAAGACUGCUUUUGUAACUCCCGAUGGUUUAUAUGAAUACCUAACUAUGCCAUUUGGACUUUGCAACGCGGUGUCAGUCUACCAGCGCUGCAUUAAUAGGGCUCUCGCUCAUCUCACGAGCUCACCAGACCAAGUGUGCCAGGUCUAUGUCGAUGAUGUGCUCUCAAAGUGUAAAGAUUUUGAUCAGGGCUUAUCCCAUAUUGAACGCAUAUUGAUUGCUCUACAAGAAGCUGGCUUUUCUAUUAACGUUGAUAAAACCGCCUUCUUUAAACGCUCCAUCGAGUACUUGGGCAAUAUAAUUGCCGACGGGCAGGUCAGCCCUAGCCCAAGAAAGGUGGAGGCUUUAACGAAGGCACCAAUCCCGAAAACUGUCAAACAAGUUAGACAAUUCAAUGGCCUGGCUGGAUAUUUCAGACGUUUCAUUCCCAACUUCUCGCGAGUUAUGGCGCCUUUAUAUGAACUCACUAAGAACGAUACGACAUGGGAAUGGAACGAAAGGCAUGACGAAGCUAGGGAUUAUAUUGUCAAACAUCUGUCUACUGCGCCUACCCUUACGCUAUUCCAGGAAGACGCACCCAUCGAACUCUACACGGACGCCAGCAGCAUCGGCUACGGGGCAGUGUUAGUGCAGACAUUCGCGGGUCGCCAACAUCCAGUCGCGUACAUGAGCCAGCGCACCACCGACGCCGAGAGCCGCUACCACUCUUACGAACUUGAAACGUUGGCGGUCGUAAGAGCAAUUAAGCAUUUUCGGCAUUACCUCUACGGCCGAAAAUUCAAGGUAAUAACCGACUGUAAUGCUCUCAAGGCCUCCAAAAACAAAAAGGACUUGCUUCCGCGUAUCCAUCGGUGGUGGGCGUUUUUGCAAAACUACGAAUUCGAGGUGGAGUAUAGGAAAGGUGAGCGAUUACAGCACGCAGACUUUUUCAGUAGAAACCCUUGCAGCGAGAUGUCAGUUAACGUUAUGACUCGAGAUAUGGAAUGGCUGCAGAUUGAGCAGCACCGCGAUGACGUGCUACGCCCAAUGAUGGAGAGUAUAACAUCUGGCGAUUCCAUCGAAGGCUAUGUCAUGGAAGAUGGCAUACUUAAGAAAAUGCUCACAGAUCCUAUACUCGGCAUACAUAAACCAAUUGUAGUGCCUAAGUCUUUCCAGUGGAGCUUGAUAAACUCCUUCCACGUGACACUGCAGCACCCAGGAUGGGAGAAAACUCUGCAGAAGCUACGAGAAACGUACUGGUUUGACAAGAUGAACUCGGCUGUUAGACGUUUUGUAGACCAUUGUGUUAUAUGUAGAACCUCGAAAGGACCAUCUGGUUCUAUACAAGCGCAGCUCCAUCCGAUCCAGAAACCCACGGCAGCGUUCCAGGUCAUUCAUAUGGACAUCACAGGAAAAUUGGGCACGAGAAACUCCGAAGGACAAUAUGAGUACGUAAUUGUUGCUAUUGACGCAUUCACGAAAUACAUAUUACUGAGCUAUUCCAAUGACAAGAGCCCGAGCAGUACACUCGCGGCACUCAAGCGUGUCAUUCACCUGUUUGGCACCCCGGUACAAGUGGUGGUUGAUGGCGGUCGGGAGUUUCUCGGCGAGUUCAAAGUCUACACUGACCGCAUAGGGAUUGACGUGCAUUCAACUGCGCCAGGAACAAGCCGAGCAAACGGACAGGUCGAAAGGGUCAUGGGCACAUUGAAAAAUGCCCUUACCAUGAUCAAAAACUACAGUACUCAAGACUGGCAGACGGCGCUGGAAGCUUUACAGCUCGCUUUCAACUGCACGCCACAUCGAGUGACAGGAGUAGCUCCGCUCACUCUCCUGACCCGCCGACAACAUUGCAUACCGCCAGAGUUACUAAGGUUGGUGAAUAUUGAGAACGAAUGCAUAGAUUUUGAUCUGCUCGAGCAACACGUACGACAGAAAAUGAUUGAUGCGGCGCAAUACAACAAGCAACGCUUCGACAGAGGCAAGGCGAAAUUGCGCCCAUUUCAACGAGGCGACUACGUACUCGUCAAGAACAAUACUCGUAACCAGACAUCCCUCGACCUCAAAUACAGUGAGCCGUAUGAAGUAUGCAGAAUCCUGGACAACGAUCGGUACAUCAUCAAGCGAGUGACCGGCAGAGGGCGCCCUCGUAAAGUCGCCCACGACCAGUUGCGCCGAGCGCCCCAGCCUGGCGAGCAGGACACCGUGUCGACGGACAGUGUAGAGGACCCCGAGCGACAACCGGCGAGCGUGCCGGCCGACGAGACUGAAACAGAUGCCACAUCUCGGCCCCAGCCCCUGCCGUCUACCUCGCGAGCUGCCCAGGCCUUGGAUGCUUAAUGGUUAGUUUUAUAUUUCUUACUGCUAUCCUGAUAGUUACUUAAAAUGUUUACCAAUUUAUGAGAAAGCCAGUAUCAACAUCAGCAGUAAGAUCCAGCCGUUGGCCUAUGUCUUUGUUGACGGGUCGACCAUUAUUAAAAGUAAGCCUGUACAUUACCCCUAUCCUAUUUUCCUUCAUUGAACCAAUUUCAGAGCCCCUGUGGACCACGGUCAAAAUAAAUAAGGCCUAGGCCACAGCAUCGUCCUUCCUACAUCCUUUAGAGCCCCUGUGGACCACGGCGUACGAGACCGCUCAGCGCCACAGCAUCAUUCCCAUGUGAGCUCUUCAUUACGCUAUUUAUUUUCAGAACCUCUGUGGACCACGGUCAUAAAUAUAAGGCCCAGGCCACAGCAUCGACCUUCCUAAUCCUUUAGAGCCCCUGUGGACCACGGCGUAUGAGACCGCUCAGCACCACAGCAUCAAAACCCUCAUAAGCCUAAACAAAAGGCAAGUAAAAAAAAAAAAAAAAAAGACAUUACUUUUCAGAGCCUCUGGGGACCACGGUCAAAAUGAUUGACUAUGACUGUUGCUAACUUUGACCGACUUAGGCCUAGGCCCCAGCAUCGUCCUAGUUCCCACUUCCAUUAGAGCCCCUGUGGACCACGGCGUUCGAGACCGCUCAGCGCCACAGCAUCAAUCCUGUCUACGAGAAAUCAAAUCGUGCAAUUAUGCGUGGAGCAUUUGUAUCGAUAUAUCUACGAGUACAUAAAUCGUGCGAGUAAGCGUGGAGCAUUACAAGCACUUCAAUAUCAUCGCUCACCUUCCAUGUACAGCAUUCCUAUACUUAUAACAAUUUUGUAUAAAGCCUCUCAAUCUUUAUUCUGUGCUUUUCAUCUUACUAUUUAACAUACUUGUGUGUAUGAACUUUAUGGUACAAAAGCUAGCUGAUAACUAGGAUUGUUGAAAUCGGUUAUCAAAGAAAAAUAGUACGACAAUUUUAUUAUCAUUACAGUAGUGACGUUGUUUCAUUUUGAAAAGCGCCAGCCACAAACAAGUUGUCAGCUAGUGUACCGGUGGACGGAUACCUAGCUCAAAGAAAUUACUUUUCAUUUUCAGACCCGCGACUGGUGCAGAGCACGCACACUGUCUCGCAGAAUGGCCGUGUCGACGCACCACUAAUUAUAUGGAAAAAUUAAUUAAUCAAUCAAGAUUAAUUCCUAAUUUAACAUGCGGCGUAAUUAUUGAUUGUAAUUAUCACACGUGUAGUAAAUAUAUUUCAGACUGAUUGUUAAUUUAAGCAAAAUGUAAUGUUAUGGUUUGCUGUCACUUGGGCAGCAAACGAUAACGUUGCAUUUACCAUUCGUCUUCAGAGGAAUGUUUAAUCAUUUGCUAAAUUCAUUUCUUGAUUUUUAAGCGACGUCUACUUGUUUAACACGAUGUUUGGUUAAGAUUAAUGUUGUAAGGAACUCUGCCAGAUUUUGUAAUACGCGGAAACGAUACCACGUGAUUACGUUUGUAAGGAUAGAUUCAACUUUAGAUUUAGUUAGUGACCUAAAUUAGUUGUUUAAAUUAAUUUGUGAUUUAACUAUCAAGUUUGGAAAAUUUAGAGUGAGUUUGCGUUUUAAUAAUUUGUGAAUUUGAAGUAAUUUCCGUCUUGACAAGAGGGAGCCACCGAACUAUCAAGUUUGGAAAAUGUAGUGAGUUUGCGUUUUAAUAAUUUGUGAAUUUGAAGUAAUUUCCGACUUGACAAGAGGGAGCCACCGUUUUUGUUUUCGGGGUGGCGGCUUGUAAUCAAGACGGAAAGACCUUCUUUCUGUGCUGCGCCUCGGCUGCGACCAGACGCUCUUCACACGCAUCGGCUAGUGCUGAACGCCGGGAGCAUUUAUAUAAGAUCCUCGUCAUCGGCGAAUUGGGUACAGGGAAGACUUCCAUAAUCAAACGAUAUGUCCACCAGUUCUUCAGUCAACACUAUAGAGCAACCAUCGGCGUGGAUUUCGCACUGAAAGUACUGAAUUGGGACUCAAAUACCAUAAUAAGAUUGCAACUAUGGGAUAUAGCAGGUAUGUGAAAUUAUCAUAUUUGUGAAAUACACAUGUCUUUUUCGAAAUCAUUUAUUAUUUGUAGUAUAGAAGAAAAUAUUUGUGUACAUACGUACAUCAGAUUUUAUUAUAUUUAAAUAUGAUCAUAUACCGUUCAGAAUAGGCUCUACACACUUCUAAUAUUCUGUAUAUAAAAACCUUUGAUAAAUGAGAACUCCUUUCCAAAAUUCCGUCACGUUAUAAAUUUAAAGAAACAUAAAUGGCAUUUAUCAAAUGUAAGUCAAAAGUUAAAGAUUUAUAACACGCUUUUUUUUCUAUUACGUAUCAAUGGCGCACGCAGAGGACGAGGCUUCAAAAUGUUUUCAAUAUCUUUUUGCUUUGGCGAUGAUUGUUUAUACAUUCGCGUUUUUCACUUUGCUUAUUUUGAUUCAUAAUUAAAUAAGGUAAAUGAAUUUUCUCUCUACUCAUACAUCAUCUUACACACCGAAAUCAUCAUUUUAUAAAAUAAAUACAAGAGUACCAAUUACGCUUUAUAGCUGCCAAUCUGUUCCACUAAAGUACGUUAUAACUCUGAAUAUCGCAGGUACUUCGAUUAUAGUUCACUUUGAUAUAUAGCUAAGUAUUCGCCUGGCGCUACGAUCUGUUGAAGGACCGUCGGUCUACCGAGCAAAUAUCAUCCGCUCGGUGGUAGAUCUUUCCUUUGUCGUUUAAGCCCUCCCAAAAGCAUUUAAUGACUUCAUAUUUCUGCAUGGUUGUGGCGAUUUCUGUACAUUUUCUGUGUUCCAGUUAAUUAUUUUUCCCGAUCCACAACGGUGCUUUUAGGUACCUCAAACACCGGUCAUCGUUCUCGUCGAACCCAUCGCUUGCGACGAAGGGCUCGACGAGUAAAUUAACCCUCAGACACAGCCCACUGAGUUUCUCGCCGGAUCUUCUCAGUGGGUCGCGUUUCCGUUCCGGUGGUAGAUUCUGCGAAGCACGGCUCUUGCUAGGGUUCGUGUUAGCAACGUCAUCAGGUUUGAGCCCCGUGAGCUCACCUAGUAGUUAAGGCAGCGCUGAUAUAUCCUCUCAAGGCUAUCAGCUUAGGUAGGAAAAAAAAAAUCUGUUGAAAUGAAAAUAGCUGUGGUCCAAUCUCGCAUUUCAUUCAAAAAUCAAACAUACAGGAAUUAUAAUCACGUCUUUAAUGAAACGAAAAUCAACUAGAGCUUAAGAGUGCGCAUCAAAAUACUUGCCAUGUUCACUUACAUUUCGUCACUAUUUGCAUAGUGGUUCGGAAUAUUUGAUGAUUUUUUUUUGAAUUCAGAUUAUUGAUGCUUUAUCAUUUAAUUAUUUUAAUGAAUGCAAUAUUUUACGUACAAGUACUGUAUUUAUAUUAUUAUACAAUCUGAUCGUUGGUGACAUUUAUCAAACACAUAUACAUAUUAUGUAUUCAAGCACAACAAAAUUUUAAUAAAACAGCAAUAUAACUACGUAUUUUAAAACUGAUAAUAAAAAAAAGUAUCCAGUUUUAACUAGACAAACUGAUACAUUAACCUUUAAAAAUAACCUUUAAAAAUAGGUAGAUCAGUAUGUUUUGCUUCACAAUAAUGCAUUUUGAUCAAGAAAUAAAAAUCUCUAAGGUAUUUUGUUUCUUAUAAGACUUACUAGCCGUACUCGCCCGCUUCGCCGCGCAUUUAAAAUUAACAUUAUUAUUUAUUGUCAUUAUUAUUAGGGAGUCUAAUAUUCGUAUAAAUAUUAGCCUAUCCAUUAAGUACAUGUGUUUUCUAUAUGGAUACCAGGUUUCAAGUCAAUCGGAUGCAUGGUUCAGUAGUUAUAACGGAACAUCCGUAAAAACCACUGUAGAUUUAUAUAUUAGUAUAGAUUUUUCGUAUUCGAUACAGAAUCGAUAGCCACAGGAAAGAGAUUAGUUUCUGUUAAUCCAAACUGCUACCGGUCACUACAAUCGCGAUUACUAGGACCUGUUGUAAACUAGUGUGCGGCAUAAUUAGGGACUGCAGUAUGAGUACGGUGGGAGGGUAUUAUCGAUCACAGUUGAAACCAUAGGUAUAAAGAAUCGAGCAUUUUAAUCUUAUAUUUAUAUUUAUUUUUUUAUAAUUAUUCAUUCUAUUAAUUUUUUUGAUUUGAUUUGAUUUGAUUUGAUAUAGUGACAUUUACAAAUUGCUAUCCGAUCGCAACGGAUUAACGCAAAGUCGCCGUCGUCCGAAGCAUGUCUUGUCGGACCCCCCGGAUUCACUCUCGAUGCUUUUAGGCCUCUCAAGUACCGGUCAACGUCCUCGUCCACCGUCCACGAGCGAACUAAUCCCUAGACACAGCUCACUGAGUUUCUCGUCGGAUCUUCUCAGUGGGUCGCUAUUCCGAUCCGAAGGUAGAUUCUGCGAAGCACUACUCCUGCUAAGGCUAGUGUUAGCAAAUUCUCUCAGGUUGAGCCCGUGAGCUCACCUACCCGUCCGGGCGUAGCUAGAAUAACCCUUUAGGCUACCAGCGAAUAGGUAGGCAGAAAAAAAUACAGUUUGUCACUUGAAUGAUUGAUUAUUUUGUCAAUCAUUCAAGAGCCGUGAACAUCGCUGGGAACGAUGCAUUAGUAUUUUAUCGUCAUUCACAUUCACCAUCAUUCAUUAUUAAAACAUCAUCAACAAUCAGGUACCACCACCCUGCCUAUUUCUGCCGUGAAGCAGUAAUGCGUUUCGGUUUGAAGGGUGGGGCAGUCGUUGUAACUAUACUUGAGAUCUUAUAACUUUUAUCUCAAGGUGGGUGGCGCAUUUACGUUGUAGAUGUCUAUGGGCUCCAGUAACCACUUAGCAUCAGGGGGGCUGUGAGCUCGUCCACCCAUCUAAGCAAUAAAAAAAAUUUAUCACCGAAACAUUCAUUAAAAAUUUGUUUAACAACUUGACCGUUAUCAGCUUAAAUAGUUUGUGGGUCUGAAUUAGAACAUUUAGCUGAAUACUCUAUUUUAACGUGUCCAAUAAUUCAAAAAUGCCUUUAUGAUUAUUGAUUUUCCAGGACAAGAGCGCUUCGGGAACAUGACGCGUGUUUAUUACAAGGAAGCAGUGGGCGCGUUUAUAGUGUUCGACGUUUCCAGAGUGGCCACGUUCGACG